CGGAGCGUAGCUCAAUUGGUAGAGCGUUCGGUUUGGGACCGAGAGGUUGCAGGUUCAAGUCCUGUCGCUCCGA
rnacentral:tRNA from 1 species